UGGUUCGAUCCUGGCUCAGGAUGAACGCUGGCGGCGUGCCUAAUACAUGCAAGUCGAACGAAACUUCUUUAUCACCGAGUGCUUGCACUCACCGAUAAAGAGUUGAGUGGCGAACGGGUGAGUAACACGUGGGCAACCUGCCCAAAAGAGGGGGAUAACACUUGGAAACAGGUGCUAAUACCGCAUAACCAUAGUUACCGCAUGGUAACUAUGUAAAAGGUGGCUAUGCUACCGCUUUUGGAUGGGCCCGCGGCGCAUUAGCUAGUUGGUGGGGUAAAGGCUUACCAAGGCAAUGAUGCGUAGCCGAACUGAGAGGUUGAUCGGCCACAUUGGGACUGAGACACGGCCCAAACUCCUACGGGAGGCAGCAGUAGGGAAUCUUCCACAAUGGGCGAAAGCCUGAUGGAGCAACGCCGCGUGGGUGAAGAAGGUCUUCGGAUCGUAAAACCCUGUUGUUAGAGAAGAAAGUGCGUGAGAGUAACUGUUCACGUUUCGACGGUAUCUAACCAGAAAGCCACGGCUAACUACGUGCCAGCAGCCGCGGUAAUACGUAGGUGGCAAGCGUUAUCCGGAUUUAUUGGGCGUAAAGGGAACGCAGGCGGUCUUUUAAGUCUGAUGUGAAAGCCUUCGGCUUAACCGGAGUAGUGCAUUGGAAACUGGGAGACUUGAGUGCAGAAGAGGAGAGUGGAACUCCAUGUGUGGCGGUGAAAUGCGUAGAUAUAUGGAAGAACACCAGUGGCGAAAGCGGCUCUCUGGUCUGUAACUGACGCUGAGGUUCGAAAGCGUGGGUAGCAAACAGGAUUAGAUACCCUGGUAGUCCACGCCGUAAACGAUGAAUGCUAAGUGUUGGAGGGUUUCCGCCCUUCAGUGCUGCAGCUAACGCAAUAAGCAUUCCGCCUGGGGAGUACGACCGCAAGGUUGAAACUCAAAGGAAUUGACGGGGGCCCGCACAAGCGGUGGAGCAUGUGGUUUAAUUCGAAGCAACGCGAAGAACCUUACCAGGUCUUGACAUCUUUUGACAAUCCUAGAGAUAGGACUCUCCCUUCGGGGACAAAAUGACAGGUGGUGCAUGGUUGUCGUCAGCUCGUGUCGUGAGAUGUUGGGUUAAGUCCCGCAACGAGCGCAACCCUUAUUGUUAGUUGCCAGCAUUAAGUUGGGCACUCUAGCAAGACUGCCGGUGACAAACCGGAGGAAGGUGGGGAUGACGUCAAAUCAUCAUGCCCCUUAUGACCUGGGCUACACACGUGCUACAAUGGACGGUACAACGAGUCGCAAGACCGCGAGGUUUAGCAAAUCUCUUAAAGCCGUUCUCAGUUCGGAUUGUAGGCUGCAACUCGCCUACAUGAAGUCGGAAUCGCUAGUAAUCGCGGAUCAGCAUGCCGCGGUGAAUACGUUCCCGGGCCUUGUACACACCGCCCGUCACACCAUGAGAGUUUGUAACACCCAAAGCCGGUGGGGUAACCUUUUGGAGCCAGCCGUCUAAGGUGGGACAGAUGAUUGGGGUGAAGUCGUAACAAGGUACCC
rnacentral:rRNA from 1 species